GAAUGCGAGCGCCUGCAAAGCAAACCUGCCCCCGCGGUCGCCUCUGAGCAUGCCCAGUGCCGCCGUGGGCGAGCCCGAGCGCCCUAGCCCGGGGCAAAGUGCAGCGGCAGGGGCCCAGGAACUCGCCCCAGGCUACAGAGCACAGGGGGAAGGGGGUGGAAGGGAGGAUCAAGAGCGCGGGCUCGCAGCAGAGGACCUGGAACAAACUGGUCAGUGUGUACAAGGCAAUGUCUCAUCAAGAUCACCCCCUCCAUACAAAGUGCCUUCUAAUUCAAAUGCAGGCCAGCACUGUAGUGUCUGCCUCAUCCAGACACCUGGGACCUACCUCAGUGCUGUGCUGUGAGUGAUUUUUCCCUGCAGUAGGUUGUAUCAGCUUGUAUGGCACCAUCCCAAGGAUGCAAGAGUGGAAACUGCAAUACUUCUUCAGAUCUAAGUUGCAAAACUUGCACAUCAUUGCUGAUACAGUUUAUUAUUCAAAGCAAAUUACAAGGUCAUCCCAGACUAAAGGAGUGGAGAAAAAGACUCUACCAUCUGACGAGAGAAAUUACACAAUCAUGUGGCAGUACUUUCUAGUUGCUAUAGCCUACCCUGUGGCCACAGUUAUUUACAUUCUUUCUGCAUGUAAAAUAUGCUCACUCUUCCCUAAAAGGCCUCAUCCCAUUCUGACUCAGUCUCAAAAUUUUAAAAUAUUAUCAUCUAAAUGUAGAUUACAUGUAGAUGAGGAUCCCUGGUCGAACUCUUGGGUAUGAAUCCUGUUCCAGAGAUUUGUGAAUUAAAAAAACCAAGCUAUCUACACUUCACAACCCAAAUAGAAAAUUGCAGUGAUGCUCCGAUUCACAAGGCAGAGAAACAGGAAACACAGAGCAAUAACUAGAAUAUAGGAAUUCUGAAGUCUAGCCAGGUACACUGACAGUUCCCUGUGUUUCAGGACAGAUACAUCCCUUGAUUAGAGCACACUCUGCUUUCUGAAUGGUCCCCUAGCCCAGUAUUCUUCAUCAUUUCAUGCAUUGAUCCAUUGAGAAGUCUGUGAAUUCCACCUCCUUAAUAUUUCUUAAAAGAAUGAAAUUAUGUCAUUUGCUGGUAAAUGGAUGGAAAUGGAGAAUAUCUUGCUAAGUGAAAUAAGCCACACUUAGAAAGACAAGAGUCAAAUAUUUUCUUUCUCUCUCUCUCUCUCUCUCUCUCUCUCUUUCUCUUCAGAAAAAAUAAAGGUUGUGGGGGGAAUCUCACAAUAAUAGAAAAUAAUAGAAGGGAAAACAAUAGCAUAGAGGAAGGGGAUGCGGGGAAGAGUGAGAGUGAGCAAGACAGGAAGGAGGGGAGGGCAUAGGGAGUACUUGUGUUAGAAAUCUACCAAAUUAUGCUAUGACCAUGUAUGAAUAUAUCACAAUGUACAUAUAUAUAAUUAUAAUGCACUAAUAAAAAUAAUAAUAAUAAUAGGAGAGAGAUCAGUAGAGUAGAAAAGGUGGAUCAGAGGAAGGGAGGAAGGGGGAAAAGGAAGGUACUGGGGAAUGAGAUUGAUCAAAUUAUGUUAAGUGCAUGUGUGAAUAUGGCAUAAUGGAUUCUGCUAUUAUUUGUUAUUACAAUGUACCAAUAAAAACCCUUCCAAUCUAUUAAUAAUGCCACUACUUUGAGGCCUUUAUGAUUUAUUUUGCCUUUACAAUUGAAAUGAUUUCCCUGCCAACUGUUUCUUUCUUUAGUGCACCAGAAAGUUCUUUGGAAACACAAAUCUGAUAAUGUAUUUUCAUUGCUUAAGAUUUUUCCAGUGGUUCUGGUAGCGUUCUUUUUCUUAAUGUAGGUGUUGAUUACACAGCUGUGUUUGCUUUGUGAAAAUUUAUUGAGCUGUAAACAUAUGAAUUAUGUACUUUCUGCAUAUAUGACUUAAAUGAAAAGGUUAUAUUUAAUAAUCCUCCCAUAGUUUCCCAUUGUAUCCAGGAUAGAGUCAAAACUCUUAGCACAAUACAUAAAGCCUGUCAGGACUCCUAUGUUUCCAAAUUCCUGUUAUUGCCCCUAACUUCCCAUGGAUAAUACCUUGUCUUCUGCAAAUAAACUAUUUUUUUUUG